UCAAUUAUCUUAAUGUUUUACAUAAGUAAAUCUUUUUUCUUGGGGGGGGGGGGGGAUUUAAUAUUUAAAUUGAUUUUCAUUUGUUGUUAUUGUUCUAAUGUUUUGAGAGGUUUAAGGUGAUGAUUUGAUUAUAAACAUGUGAGACUGAUAAACAUUUUGUAUACUAGACACAUUUUAAUCUAUCUACUACCUUUAGUUAUAUAUCAGUUCAUUAUGAUAUGUUAUUAUUUUGAUGAUUCCACAUGAUGAAAUUGAGAGAUUUGGUGACUAUGUAAUACGGGGUUGCUAAUUGAUAAAGCCACUUUGUAAACUUGACCUUAGGAAAUAUGUUUUUGUGUGUCCUGCCUUGUUCUAAUUCAGUUGUGCUUUGUUGUUACUGUUUUGUUGUAUUAAAAUGAUGAAAUUUAUAAUGAUGAAGUUUAAUAUCUUUGCUGAGGGUAACGGUAACGAUUUGUGAUUGGGUGGGAAUGCCAAGAAGCAGAGAAGGGAAAUGUCAUUGGUAACAAACCACAGCAUUAACAAAUCCAAGUCAAAUUACAAAAGGUUUUUUAUAGGGUCCAGUGUAUGGAGAGUUAAAGGUGGCCUGAUGAUCUAUUGAUGGUAUCCCAAAAGUAAGGUUGAUAAUUUAAAGGAUUUUUGAGCCGAACGGGCAACAACGGUUUUGGAUAAACCUUUGCCAAACCGGCCAAUGGUUUGGCGGUUCCGUUUUGACGGUUUGGUGGUCAAAGCAGUUCGGUAUUCAGGGUUUUGGCCCACCAUUUUCUUUUGUUUUUUAAAAACUAAUUGUGCCUCAGCAGCAGCACCACACUGCACACCCGCAACAGCGGCUGCGCGGCUGAUAUUGUAGAAGGUGUGAUUAAAAAACUAUUUGAAGGACAUAAUCUGAAAUAUGUGGAACAUAUCAAUAAAAAAGAAAACAUUUUCCUGCCUUCAGCUUGAUGUCAAAGGUUGUUGCAGUGUGUAUGCUUCUUUUGACAAAUAUACAUAAGUAGAACGACUUGAAGGUGAUAGUAGAUACCGUGCUGGACCACAUGGGUUACAGGAUGCAGAGAAGCGUUUCAUGUUCAUUGAUUUCCCCCUGUUUAUCAACUUCAGUUAAAGCGUUUUGAAUAUGAUUCCAUUCGAGAUACAAUGGUGAAGAUAAACAACCGUUAUAAAUUCCUCCUGCGACUUGAUCUUGAUAGAGAGGAUGGAAAGUACUUAUCACCCCUAGCAGACAGAAGUUUGCGCAAUCUUUACACUCUUCACAGUGUUUUGGUUCACAGUGGGGGAGCACAUGACGGGUAAUUAUGAUCACGUGAAGGACAACAGUGGGGGUCGGUUGAGUAUAGUCAGUUGGCUGAUGUAGCAACAAUAAGUAGUAAGUGCUAGGAACUAUGAAGUGGGAGUAUGACUACUAAGAAAACGUUAACACGAUGAUUAUUUAACUCGCAUGAAGAUUGUGAAAGAGAUUCAUGAACACAAUGAAGUUUUGAGCUUUUAUUCAUACACUUGUUAGUUUAUUUGGGUUAUAUGUUUGAUCAUUAGACUUAGAUCGACACUUAUUAGCCAUUUGGAUUGAACUUUUAAUUGAAGUGAUUAUUUUAUGAUUUCUACA